AGAGUUUGAUCCUGGCUCAGAUUGAACGCUGGCGGCAGGCCUAACACAUGCAAGUCGAACGGUAGCACAGAGAGCUUGCUCUCGGGUGACGAGUGGCGGACGGGUGAGUAAUGUCUGGGAAACUGCCUGAUGGAGGGGGAUAACUACUGGAAACGGUAGCUAAUACCGCAUAACGUCGCAAGGCCAAAGAGGGGGACCUUCGGGCCCCUUGCCAUCAGAUGUGCCCAGAUGGGAUUAGCUAGUAGGUGGGGUAACGGCUCACCUAGGCGACGAUCCCUAGCUGGUCUGAGAGGAUGACCAGCCACACUGGAACUGAGACACGGUCCAGACUCCUACGGGAGGCAGCAGUGGGGAAUAUUGCACAAUGGGCGCAAGCCUGAUGCAGCCAUGCCGCGUGUAUGAAGAAGGCCUUCGGGUUGUAAAGUACUUUCAGCGAGGAGGAAGGCGAUACGGUUAAUAACCGUGUCGAUUGACGUUACUCGCAGAAGAAGCACCGGCUAACUCCGUGCCAGCAGCCGCGGCAAUACGGAGGGUGCAAGCGUUAAUCGGAAUUACUGGGCGUAAAGCGCACGCA
rnacentral:rRNA from 1 species